GGAACAGUGGAGGCAGCAAUUACAAACUGACAUUUGGGAAAGGAACUCUCUUAACUGUGACUCCAA